AAGAGUUGCAAAACUCCCAAACCCUUGUGAACAUACCUGUUUCUGUUGCUUCGGUGGGCGGCCCCAGGGCGGGGCCGCAGCCUUCUCGUGAGGUGCCCGCCGGAGGUAUAAACUCUGUAUUAUAUUAGUCUCUCUGAGUGAUUUACGAAUAAGUUA
rnacentral:misc_RNA from 1 species